rnacentral:rRNA from 1 species
UACGUAGGGGGCUAGCGUUGUCCGGAAUUACUGGGCGUAAAGCGUGCGCAGGCGGUUUUGUAAGUCUGACGUGAAAUCCCCGGGCUCAACCUGGGAAUUGCAUUGGAAACUAGCGGGCUGGAGUGUGGCAGAGGGGGGUGGAAUUCCACGUGUAGCAGUGAAAUGCGUAGAGAUGUGGAGGAACACCGAUGGCGAAGGCAGCCCCCUGGGCUAACACUGACGCUCAUGCACGAAAGCGUGGGGAGCAAACAGG